UAUAAGGCUGGGACAAAUCACUCCAGGUGGGGGGACAGUCUAAGAGCUUCUGCUGAGACGGACUGAGAAGUAUAAAUACUGGUCUCAACAGUGGGGGACAGAGCAGCGGGAGAUUCGGAGUCACAAAGCCCUCAAAGAGAAGAUGACGAUGCUCACAGACCCUGCAGUACAGCCUCCAUGACACCGCACCUGUGGUUCUGAACUGAACUGCGUCCUCCAGUGACGACAGCAAACCCAUUCUCAUGUCUACAUGACGACUAGGGGCUUUUGGCAAUUUCAGCUCUUUCUUGCUUUCCAAUGACAAAGCUACACAGACUCAAAAGAAUGGUUUUACUGACCAAAAACCUGCUACUUGGCAAUUCCCUCAAGUUGGAGCUGGAGUAGUCUACGUGGGUCAGGAAGCAAAAAAAAUUCCAACUGUUCAGGAGUGAGGUUGGGACUUUCCAAAAUCAAAAACUUCAGCCUUUACAAGCUUAAGCCAAAAAUAACGGAGAAGAAAGAGUCA